rnacentral:rRNA from 1 species
CAACUUUCAGCAAUGGAUCUCUUGGCUCUCGCAUCGAUGAAGAACGCAGCGAAUUGCGAUAUGUAAUGUGAAUUGCAGAUCUACAGUGAAUCAUCGAAUCUUUGAACGCACAUUGCGCUCCUCGGUGUUCCGAGGAGCAUGCCUGUUUGAGUGUCAGUU